rnacentral:rRNA from 1 species
UGCAGUCGAGCGGUAACAGGUCCAGCUUGCUGGAUGCUGACGAGCGGCGGACGGGUGAGUAAUGCAUAGGAAUCUACCCGGUAGUGGGGGAUAACCUGGGGAAACCCAGGCUAAUACCGCAUACGUCCUACGGGAGAAAGGGGGCUUUGGCUCCCGCUAUCGGAUGAGCCUAUGCCGGAUUAGCUGGUUGGUGAGGUAACGGCUCACCAAGGCGACGAUCCGUAGCUGGUCUGAGAGGAUGAUCAGCCACAUCGGGACUGAGACACGGCCCGAACUCCUACGGGAGGCAGCAGUGGGGAAUAUUGGACAAUGGGGGCAACCCUGAUCCAGCCAUGCCGCGUGUGUGAAGAAGGCCCUCGGGUUGUAAAGCACUUUCAGCGAGGAAGAACGCCUGGUGGUUAAUACCCGCCAGGAAAGACAUCACUCGCAGAAGAAGCACCGGCUAACUCCGUGCCAGCAGCCGCGGUAAUACGGAGGGUGCAAGCGUUAAUCGGAAUUACUGGGCGUAAAGCGCGCGUAGGUGGCUUGAUAAGCCGGUUGUGAAAGCCCCGGGCUCAACCUGGGAACGGCAUCCGGAACUAUCAGGCUAGAGUGCAGGAGAGGAAGGUAGAAUUCCCGGUGUAGCGGUGAAAUGCGUAGAGAUCGGGAGGAAUACCAGUGGCGAAGGCGGCCUUCUGGACUGACACUGACACUGAGGUGCGAAAGCGUGGGUAGCAAACAGGAUUAGAUACCCUGGUAGUCCACGCCGUAAACGAUGUCGACCAGCCGUUGGGUGCCUAGCGCACUUUGUGGCGAAGUUAACGCGAUAAGUCGACCGCCUGGGGAGUACGGCCGCAAGGUUAAAACUCAAAUGAAUUGACGGGGGCCCGCACAAGCGGUGGAGCAUGUGGUUUAAUUCGAUGCAACGCGAAGAACCUUACCUACCCUUGACUCCUGCGAACUUGGUAGAG